ACGGAGGGAGCUAGCGUUGUUCGGAAUUACUGGGCGUAAAGCGCACGUAGGCGGCUUUGUAAGUUAGAGGUGAAAGCCUGGAGCUCAACUCCAGAACUGCCUUUGAUACUGCAUGGCUUGAAUCCAAGAGAGGUGAGUGGAAUUCCGAGUGUAGAGGUGAAAUUCGUAGAUAUUCGGAAGAACACCAGUGGCGAAGGCGGCUCACUGGCUUGGUAUUGACGCUGAGGUGCGAAAGCGUGGGGAGCAAACAGG
rnacentral:rRNA from 1 species